UACGAAGGGUGCAAGCGUUACUCGGAAUUACUGGGCGUAAAGCGUGCGUAGGUGGUGAGUUAAGUCUGUCGUGAAAGCCCCGGGCUCAACCUGGGAAUGGCGAUGGAUACUGGCUCGCUAGAGUGCGGUAGAGGAGAGUGGAAUUCCCGGUGUAGCAGUGAAAUGCGUAGAGGUCGGGAGGAACAUCAGUUGCGAAGGCGGCUCUCUGGACCAGCACUGACACUGAGGCACGAAAGCGUGGGGAGCAAACAGG
rnacentral:rRNA from 1 species